UCAAAAAACAAAUAACGAACAAGAACCGGGAUAUAACUUUCCCACUUUUGGACAGGUUUAGCAGAGAUACUGAUAAUUAUUUUAGGCCACCAUUAAAUUUUAAUGAAUGCCGAUUUUUUUUUAAUCACAUUAACACCAUCAGCACGAAAAACACAACAGAUUUAACAGACAUACGCUACUACUAUUAUUAUCAUCCACUCACAAUAAUGAUAAAUGAAUCAUAGUGGAAUCAGCUCAACUCAGUAACCCUAAGUGUGCAUCCCUAAUGUGAGAGAAACACAACUGAUGCUGUUCCCCCAAAGGCUGAAGAGAACGCAGAGCACACCAAACUAUAACCAGGACCAUGGUAUUAGCUACUGGCUAGCUAAUUAGCAUAUGCAGUGGUCCUUUAUGGCUGGAAUCUACCUUUUGGUCGCAAAACAACAGAGGUAAAAGACGUGAGCCGAUAUCGUCUAUAUCGGAGCAAGGCGGGCGCCAGGACGGACACGACAGGAACUCAUCCUUCACGGUUGAGACGGUGCCUGUUGGCUCUCGAGAAGCAACACUUGUAUCUACUUUGGAAUACGCACAUUAGACGCCAAAGAUAAAAGGGUUUGUUGGACACCACAAAGCCCAUUGCUCUGUGGGGGACGAAGCGGCCUACAGGAUGGAGGGGGCAAGUCUGGAGGAAUGGUGCGAGGAAACCUCCUCACCCUCAAUGCAGACAAGACAAAGGAGAUGAUAGUGGACAUGAGGAAGAAGAGGCCACGUCACUGAGGACUUCACAGUGAGGGACAUCCAAGACUCACAGCUGGUCAAGAAGGCUCGACAGUGGCUGUACGUUCUGAGGAGGCAGAGGAAGUCAACUUCUAGCUGCAUCCUGAGAGCAUGACUGUGUGGUACAGCGCCACUAAAGCCAUGGAGCAAAAACACCCGCAGGGAGGAUAAUCAGGACCCCGGUGCCGUCUCUGCAGAGCAUCGACCACCACAGAGUCCACAGCAGAGCUGCCUCCAUCAUCAAGGACCCCACCCUCCCACAACACGGACUGUUCACACUUCUGCCCUCAGGACGGAGGUACAGGAGUGUGAAAUGCAGUACAACCCGUCUAAAGUAGUCGUUGUAGCUAUUUUUAAGCCUUAAUAUUUCUCUUGAUUUGUUUUACUUUUGGUUGUAUCUUUUUUUUACGAUUCUCUUUAUGCUGGUAAUGUGAGUGGACAGCAAAGUAAGAAUUUCAUUGUACAUGGAAACCUGUUUCUUUACUGUCUACAUGACAAUAAAGACUCUGAAUUGA